UCGUUGCAAAUUCAGGGGUGGUUUCAAGGAUUUGGCAGAGCCUUCCUGGCUACGAACUGAGCUUCUGGAUAUGAGGAUGGGGCUGGUGAGGAGAAAGUACACUCGACAAUGACCUGGGUUUGAAUUUCAUUAGAGCUUAAAGUAAACAGUGCACACACUGGCCUUUCCUUAAGUCUUUAGGCUUAUGUAUUCAUAAAUAGAGUAACAUAAAAAUUGGCAGCCAUCACUUUCAAUUUGUCAUUUAACCAUCUGAGUUAAAGUGGAGUGGUGGGGCUGGAAACCUGAUUAGAGUGAGUUUAAGGGAGAGUGGGAGAGACGGAAGGGAAACAAUGAUGUUAGUCAAUGAGGCAUCUCUGUACUUGAAGGAGUGUAAGAGAAUGUAUCAACUGCUUGAACACAGUGUACUCAUCUACAGGAUGGGACGGUGGAAAUCCAGGCCAGGGAGGCAGAGAUGGAGUUUCAAGGAGGGGACUGGCCCUUAGCCUGGUUACACCCAGCAGAAUGAAGAGCUCUGCUGACCUCUGACAAUAAGUCCUUUCAGACACGACAUGCAUGUCACAUCUCACAGAAAACAUGAACUUCUCUGGCAUCCUGCUGGUGCUGAGUGCUGACCUAAACAGGACUGGCUCAGCUGAAGACACUGUGCCCUUCGUAUAUUUUGUCAACACCAUGGAGAACCAUUCCAAUGGCUCAGGCUUGCCCAGGGAGCCUGCUCAUCCCCAAGGGCCUUGGAGGAGCCGGUUCCAGAGAGCCCCUGAUGUGUUUCACCAAGUUCUUAGGGGAGGGCACCAGACACUCGAGAACUGAGACCACAGGACCCACAGACAUCGACCCACGAAUGGUGAUCAGGCCCCCUCUGCUGCCACAUGCCCCUAUGCUCCCAUUUUCUCUGCCACUGGGCUUAAAAAUAAAUGUGGCAUGC
rnacentral:lncRNA from 1 species